AAGAGUAAAGAGGUGAUAUGGAAUAUGAUCAACAUGACUUGACACUUUAAAUUUCACAGAAAAAAAACACACUAAACCUCAAAUUGCAAAACAUUAUGCCAAUAACAUUCGACUAAUUCACCAAAUAACAUCUGUUACUUUAGCAUAAUCAGAUCUCUCUUACUGCAAACUGCGUGAAUACUGCUAAUUCUAAAACACACAUACUGGUAUUUCUCAAGAUAUGCAUUCAUAAAGUAUUGGCACUUAAGUUUAAAUUUAAGUUUAUCUUUUUGCCCCUAAAACUGUUACUUUUGGUGUUUACUAAGAUAUUUUAAUGGUGCAUUUAACUAGCUACUAAGAGAAGAUUUUUGCAUCACUAGAUUAAAACUAGUUGCAACACACAAACUAGUUGUUAUGUAGAGCAGAAGCCGACAGCUCAUUUUAGUGAGUCAUGAUGCUUUAAUCCACAGAGAUUACUGCGAGUCAUAUAAGGAAUCACUAUCAGAGCUGCGACUCUAUCUGACUUCGAGUAGUCUGGACCAACAGGGAUGGAAAAAUGAUCUUCAUUCUGGGUGUACAGAGAGUCUUUCAGCAGGUGACUGCAGUUCACACUGAGCUCACUGGAAGAUUACACGAGCCUUUCUUUUCACAGCAGCAUGCCGGAGGUGAGGAAAGAAACGUCUUAGGUCGCUUUUACUUGCGCAGAAAAGGUUUUAUAGGCAUGCAAUCUUUCUUGUAUACAUAGACAUUUAUUCACAUUUUGGAGCUGAGGCCACUGAUCAGGCCCUGUGGAGCAGUUUAGAGGUUACAAACCUCUACCUGUAGUGGAGGAUGAUUGUUGCUCAUUCCUAAUAAUUCAGUCUUGGGAUUCACAGACAGG